AGGACGAACGCUGGCGGCGUGCUUAACACAUGCAAGUCGAACGGAAAGGCCCUUCGGGGUACUCGAGUGGCGAACGGGUGAGUAACACGUGGGUGAUCUGCCCUGCACUUUGGGAUAAGCCUGGGAAACUGGGUCUAAUACCGAAUAUGACCACGCUCUUCAUGGGGUGUGGUGGAAAGCUUUUGCGGUGUGGGAUGGGCCCGCGGCCUAUCAGCUUGUUGGUGGGGUAAUGGCCUACCAAGGCGACGACGGGUAGCCGGCCUGAGAGGGUGACCGGCCACACUGGGACUGAGAUACGGCCCAGACUCCUACGGGAGGCAGCAGUGGGGAAUAUUGCACAAUGGGCGCAAGCCUGAUGCAGCGACGCCGCGUGAGGGAUGACGGCCUUCGGGUUGUAAACCUCUUUCACCAGGGACGAAGCGCAAGUGACGGUACCUGGAGAAGAAGCACCGGCCAACUACGUGCCAGCAGCCGCGGUAAUACGUAGGGUGCGAGCGUUGUCCGGAAUUACUGGGCGUAAAGAGCUCGUAGGUGGUUUGUCGCGUUGUUCGUGAAAACUCACAGCUUAACUGUGGGCGUGCGGGCGAUACGGGCAGACUAGAGUACUGCAGGGGAGACUGGAAUUCCUGGUGUAGCGGUGGAAUGCGCAGAUAUCAGGAGGAACACCGGUGGCGAAGGCGGGUCUCUGGGCAGUAACUGACGCUGAGGAGCGAAAGCGUGGGGAGCGAACAGGAUUAGAUACCCUGGUAGUCCACGCCGUAAACGGUGGGUACUAGGUGUGGGUUCCUUCCUUGGGAUCCGUGCCGUAGCUAACGCAUUAAGUACCCCG
rnacentral:rRNA from 1 species